GACGAACGCUGGCGGCGUGCUUAACACAUGCAAGUCGAACGGAAAGGCCCUGCUUUUGUGGGGUGCUCGAGUGGCGAACUGGUGAGUAACACGUGAGUAACCUGCCCUUGACUUUGGGAUAACUUCAGGAAACUGGGGCUAAUACCGGAUAGGAGCUCCUGCUGCAUGGUGGGGGUUGGAAAGUUUCGGCGGUUGGGGAUGGACUCGCGGCUUAUCAGCUUGUUGGUGGGGUAGUGGCUUACCAAGGCUUUGACGGGUAGCCGGCCUGAGAGGGUGACCGGCCACAUUGGGACUGAGAUACGGCCCAGACUCCUACGGGAGGCAGCAGUGGGGAAUAUUGCACAAUGGGCGGAAGCCUGAUGCAGCAACGCAGCGUGCGGGAUGACGGCCUUCGGGUUGUAAACCGCUUUCGCCUGUGACGAAGCGUGAGUGACGGUAAUGGGUAAAGAAGCACCGGCUAACUACGUG
rnacentral:rRNA from 1 species